rnacentral:rRNA from 1 species
GCCGUUUGAUCCUGGCUCAGGAUGAACGCUAGCGGCAGGCUUUAACACAUGCAAGUCGAGGGGUAACGGGGUGCUUGCACCGCCGACGACCGGCGCACGGGUGAGUAACGCGUAUACAAUCUGCCUUGUACUGAGGGAUAGCCCAGAGAAAUUUGGAUUAAUACCUCAUAGUAUAUGGAUCUCUCAUGAGGAUCAUAUUAAAGGUUACGGUACAAGAUGAGUAUGCGUUCUAUUAGCUAGAUGGUAAGGUAACGGCUUACCAUGGCUACGAUAGAUAGGGGCCCUGAGAGGGGGAUCCCCCACACUGGUACUGAGACACGGACCAGACUCCUACGGGAGGCAGCAGUGAGGAAUAUUGGACAAUGGGCGAGAGCCUGAUCCAGCCAUGCCGCGUGCAGGAUGACGGCCCUAUGGGUUGUAAACUGCUUUUAUACAGGAAGAAACACCCCGACGUGUCGGGACUUGACGGUACUGUAAGAAUAAGGAUCGGCUAACUCCGUGCCAGCAGCCGCGGUAAUACGGAGGAUCCAAGCGUUAUCCGGAAUCAUUGGGUUUAAAGGGUCCGUAGGUGGACAAUUAAGUCAGAGGUGAAAUCCUGCAGCUCAACUGUAGAAUUGCCUUUGAUACUGGUUGUCUUGAGUUAUUAUGAAGUAGUUAGAAUAUGUAGUGUAGCGGUGAAAUGCAUAGAUAUUACAUAGAAUACCAAUUGCGAAGGCAGAUUACUAAUAAUGAACUGACACUGAUGGACGAAAGCGUGGGGAGCGAACAGGAUUAGAUACCCUGGUAGUCCACGCCGUAAACGAUGGUUACUAGUUGUUCGGAUUUCGGUCUGAGUGACUAAGCGAAAGUGAUAAGUAACCCACCUGGGGAGUACGUUCGCAAGAAUGAAAC